rnacentral:rRNA from 1 species
CGUGCAGGCGGUUUGUUAAGUCUAGGGUGAAAGCUCCCGGCUCAACUGGGAGAGGUCCUUGGAUACUGGCAGACUUGAGGAGGGUAGAGGAGAGUGGAAUUCCCGGUGUAGUGGUGAUAUGCGUAGAUAUCGGGAGGAACACCAGUGGCGAAGGCGGCUCUCUGGGCCCUACCUGACGCUGAGACGCGAAAGCGUGGGGAGCGAACCGGAUUAGAUACCCGGGUAGUCCACGCCGUAAACUAUGGACACUAGGUGUGGGGGGUAUCGACCCCCUCCGUGCCGAAGCUAACGCAAUAAGUGUCCCGCCUGGGGAGUACGGCCGCAAGGCUAAA